GAAGCUUCUGGGGGUGGACAGAGAGGGAGACAUCUUCAGCCUGUCUCAGCUGGUCAGCAUCUGAUCAUCCCUGGCCCUCCACUGAACCUCUCAACCUCAAGCUCUGCAAGAUGAGGCCUCCAGACAUCCACUGUAGAGACCUGCCUACAGGGGGCAGAAGCAGUGUGUGAGAAAGAUGCUCUGGAGCCAGCCCCAGCAUCAAGAAUGAGCAACCAAACUGUUUUUGACCUGGCCUGCAGUGAGGAGAUUAAGCAGAUUCUGGUGGGCAGUCAUGACAAGGUUAAAGCAUGGGACUAGUGCCUCUUCCUUUGGUCUCCAUCACUUUAAGGUGUCAUCCAAGAUGGAUCCAGAGGCAAAGAAAAAGAUGCUUGGAUGCCCUGGAGGAGCAUGUGGCCAACAGCAGCUGUCACUACCCAGGAGCAGACAGAU